AGUGCCUCGUAAAUAAUCAGUACGACGUGGCUAUAAGAAGUGUUCAAAAUCCAGACAAGAGAUUGCGUGAAAAAAACGUUGUUCAAAGGAUACAGGGUAGAGAGGGUGAAUUCGCGAUGCAAUUUGUUUCACCUUUGAAUACAGAAAUUCUGCUGGAUUUAGCACGCUGCUCAGCUAGCACCUCUGUCCUACCUAUAGUAGCUGGCUAGGAAACGUUAGCUAGCUAGCAUUAGGUCUGACUCAAGAAUGGGAAAAUUCUUAAGAAAGAAACUGAUGAAGACACAACAGAAGGGGCCAUGGGGCGCUGUGUUGUAUUUUAAAUAGUUAAAUCUGUUAUCAAUUUCUAUUCUGACUUGUAAUGUUAAAAAAGGUAGAGAAAAUGAACUCCUGUUUCUCUGAAUUAGCUAGGCUCACGUUGAUAAACUACACAGAUUUGAGUCACUGCAAUUAAAAUUGUUUUCCCAAUGUAUCCUUCAAUUCAAUUGUUUUCACUAUGUAUUGCAUGUUUGAGGAGAUGAUAUACUGUUAAACAUGUUUGUAACUUAAUAUUAAUAAAUUGCCAGAAGGUU